GAUGAAGAACGCAGCGAAAUGCGAUAAGUAAUGUGAAUUGCAGAAUUCAGUGAAUCAUCGAAUCUUUGAACGCACAUUGCGCCCGCCAGUGUUCUGGCGGGCAUGCCUGUUCGAGCGUCAUUUCAACCCUCAAGACCCCUUCGGGGGACUUGGUGUUGGGGACCGGCACAGGGGCCUGCCUGCUUGUCUUGCAGCGCCCUCGCCGCCCCCGAAAUGAAUUGGCGGCCUCGUCGCGGCCUCCCCUGCGUAGUAGCACAACCUCGCAACGGGAACGUGACGGCGGCCACUGCCGUAAAACAACCCCAAUUUUAUUAGAGUUGACCUCGAAUCAGGUAGGAAUACCCGCUGAACUUAAGCAUAUCAAUAAGCGGAGGA
rnacentral:misc_RNA from 1 species